UUUAUACGUCGAAUUUUGGUCGCGUCGAAUGCAAUUAAGACAAUAGAUAAUGAGAUAAUAAACCUCAUUAAGCUUCAUUAUCUAUUGUUUGAAUUGCAUUCGACGCGACCAAAAUUCGACUUAUAAA